CAGCCGCCACGGGAAUACGAAGGGUGCAAGCGUUACUCGGAAUUACUGGGCGUAAAGCGUGCGUAGGUGGUUGUUUAAGUCUGCUGUGAAAGCCCUGGGCUCAACCUGGGAAUUGCAGUGGAUACUGGGCAACUAGAGUAAGGUAGAGGAUAGUGGAAUUUCCGGUGUAGCAGUGAAAUGCGUAGAGAUCGGAAGGAACAUCUGUGGCGAAGGCGACUAUCUGGGCCAUUACUGACACUGAGGCACGAAAGCGUGGGGAGCAAACAGGAUUAGAUACCCCUGUAGUCCCUGUCUCUUAUAC
rnacentral:rRNA from 1 species